UACGUAGGUGGCAAGCGUUGUCCGGAAUUAUUGGGCGUAAAGCGCGCGCAGGCGGCCUUUUAAGUCUGAUGUGAAAAGCCCACGGCUCAACCGUGGAAGGUCAUUGGAAACUGAAAGGCUUGAGUACAGAAGAGGAAAGCGGAAUUCCACGUGUAGCGGUGAAAUGCGUAGAGAUGUGGAGGAACACCAGUGGCGAAGGCGGCUUUCUGGUCUGUAACUGACGUGAGGCGCGAAAGCGUGGGGAGCAAACAGG
rnacentral:rRNA from 1 species